UCUUUGGAGGACUAGUGGUUAAGCCACAGCUCUCCCACUGCUGUGGCCCGGGUUCGAUUUCUGGCCAGGGAA